GAUGAACGCUAGCUACAGGCUUAACACAUGCAAGUCGAGGGGUAACGAGAGGAAAGCUUGCUUUCCUUGUCGACGACCGGCGCACGGGUGAGUAACGCGUAUCCAACCUGCCCCCAACUAAGGAAUAACCUUGCGAAAGUAAGACUAAUACCUUAUAAUUUCCUCAGAUGUCAUCUGACGAGGAAUAAAGAUUAUCGGUUGUGGAUGGGGAUGCGUCUGAUUAGCUUGUUGGCGGGGUAACGGCCCACCAAGGCAACGAUCAGUAGGGGUUCUGAGAGGAAGGUCCCCCACAUUGGAACUGAGACACGGUCCAAACUCCUACGGGAGGCAGCAGUGAGGAAUAUUGGUCAAUGGGCGGAAGCCUGAACCAGCCAAGUAGCGUGCAGGAUGACGGCCCUAUGGGUUGUAAACUGCUUUUACACAGGAAUAAAGUUAGCCACGUGUGGUUAUUUGUAGGUACUGUAUGAAUAAGGACCGGCUAAUUCCGUGCCAGCCGCCGCCACGG
rnacentral:rRNA from 1 species